rnacentral:lncRNA from 1 species
GGGUUCUUAGGUAGUCUGAAAGCUAUAGAAAAACAUGACCACUUACAUGCUUUGCUCAUUCAUUGCUCUUGUUCUUCUUCAUCUUCUUCUCUUUCAAUGCAAAAGCAUUGUACAAAUUCUCAUUUCAACAAUAAGACAACACAACCUAUUUCUUAUAUCACCUUUCUCAAUGUGCUCACAAGUUGAGAGAGUGAAAAAACCAAUAUUUUAUCACUCUUUCUCUUAAAUUCUCAUCACCUUCACUCCUUUGUGCAUAUUUUUU